GAUGAACGCUGGCGGCGUGCCUAAUACAUGCAAGUCGAGCGAACAGACGAGGAGCUUGCUCCUCUGACGUUAGCGGCGGACGGGUGAGUAACACGUGGAUAACCUACCUAUAAGACUGGGAUAACUUCGGGAAACCGGAGCUAAUACCGGAUAAUAUAUUGAACCGCAUGGUUCAAUAGUGAAAGACGGUUUUGCUGUCACUUAUAGAUGGAUCCGCGCCGCAUUAGCUAGUUGGUAAGGUAACGGCCUACCAAGGCAACGAUGCGUAGCCGCCCUGAGAGGGUGAUCGGCUACCCGGGAACUGAGACACGGCGCCGACACUGACGGGAGGCAGCAGUAGGGAAUCUUCCGCAAUGGGCGAAAGCCGGACGGAGCAACACCGCGGGAGUGAUGAAGGUCUUCGGAUCGUAAAACUCUGUUAUUAGGGAAGAACAAAUGUGUAAGUAACUAUGCACGUCUUGACGGUACCUAAUCAGAAAGCCACGGCUAACUACGUG
rnacentral:rRNA from 1 species